GUGUCCAGCGUUUUAAGGAGUCCCCUGCACAUGCACAGGGUGUGUUCUCACAGCUAUUUCUCCAUCACUGUGCCUGCCUGCCUGCCUGCUACCGUGCUUCUGCCAUGAUGGCCAUUCACUCCGACCCUCUGAAACUAUGCCCUUGCAGUCAGAUUGGAGCCAUGUGACCAGCUCUGGCCAAUGAAAGAUGGGAGGAAGUGACGUGAUGCUGGCUGUUUCCAAACCUGGUGCUGUGGGCCCCUGUGGGGUCCUCUGCUUUCUCUU